rnacentral:tRNA from 1 species
CUCUGUAGUUCAGUCGGUAGAACGGCGGACUGUUAAUCCGUAUGUCACUGGUUCGAGUCCAGUCAGAGUCA